rnacentral:rRNA from 1 species
ACUCCUACGGGAGGCAGCAGUGGGGAAUAUUGCACAAUGGGCGCAAGCCUGAUGCAGCCAUGCCGCGUGUGUGAGAGGACGCUUCGGGUUGUAAAGCACUUUCAGUCGUGAGGAAGGUAGUGUAGUUAAUAGCUGCAUUAUUUGACGUUAGCGACAGAAGAAGCACCGGCUAACUCCGUGCCAGCAGCCGCGGUAAUACGGAGGGUGCGAGCGUUAAUCGGAAUUACUGGGCGUAAAGCGCAUGCAGGUGGUUUGUUAAGUCANGA